GUGGUUAACUAUUGUUUUAUAGUGGUGAUGAUUGACCAAUCAUCAUUUUUGAUUUUAAUACCUUCCCUAUACUGUUCAUACUGGAUGGUUAAGUUCAAUCCUAGUCGGAUCGUGUGUUCACCACAGUUUAAUAAUAAUGAUUCAACUAAUUUAAAUUAUAUCAACCAUGGUGAACAAAUUGUAAAUUAUUACGUUUUACGUUUCACAUUGAACUGUGAAGGCAUUUUAAG